UACCCUUUUUUUCUCGUGAACGGAUAUGGCGUAAGAGCUCGUAGGCGGUUUGUCGCGUCUGCUGUGAAAGACCGGGGCUCAACUCCGGUUCUGCAGUGGGUACGGGCAGACUAGAGUGCAGUAGGGGAGACUGGAAUUCCUGGUGUAGCGGUGAAAUGCGCAGAUAUCAGGAGGAACACCGAUGGCGAAGGCAGGUCUCUGGGCUGUAACUGACGCUGAGGAGCGAAAGCAUGGGGAGCGAACAGGAUUAGAUACCCUGGUAGUCCAUGCCGUAAACGUUGGGCACUAGGUGUGGGGGACAUUCCACGUUUUCCGCGCCGUAGCUAACGCAUUAAGUGCCCCGCCUGGGGAGUACGGCCGCAAGGCUAAAACUCAAAGGAAUUGACGGGGGCCCGCACAAGCGGCGGAGCAUGCGGAUUAAUUCGAUGCAACGCGAAGAACCUUACCAAGGCUUGACAUGAACCGGUAAUACCUGGAAACAGGUGCCCCGCUUGCGGUCGGUUUACAGGUGGUGCAUGGUUGUCGUCAGCUCGUGUCGUGAGAUGUUGGGUUAAGUCCCGCAACGAGCGCAACCCUCGUUCUAUGUUGCCAGCGGUUCGGCCGGGGACUCAUAGGAGACUGCCGGGGUCAACUCGGAGGAAGGUGGGGACGACGUCAAAUCAUCAUGCCCCUUAUGUCUUGGGCUUCACGCAUGCUACAAUGGCCGGUACAAAGGGUUGCGAUACUGUGAGGUGGAGCUAAUCCCAAAAAGCCGGUCUCAGUUCGGAUUGGGGUCUGCAACUCGACCCCAUGAAGUCGGAGUCGCUAGUAAUCGCAGAUCAGCAACGCUGCGGUGAAUACGUUCCCGGGGCCUUGUACACAACCGCCCGUCAAGUCACGAAAGUUGGUAACACCCGAAGCCGGUGGACUAACCCUUGUGGGGGGAGCGUCGAAGGUGGGACCGGCUGAUUGGGACUAAGUCGUAACAAGGUAAACUCA
rnacentral:rRNA from 1 species